GUAAGUCGGGUAGUUAACUUUCGGAGUUUGACAUUAGAUUGUCAAGAGUUCGUGAUAAUGAAUUCUAACUCUGAGUGAAGGUCCGCACACCGUAAUAAAAUUAUCUUUCGAAAGGAAGAUUGCAGUGAUGCAAGGCUCUGGUACAGAAACGACACAGCUUUCGUUGAACUAUGAAUCAUGCGAUGAGUUGCGAAGCGAAAGAUUUGAUGAAACGAACAUCCUGAUUGGUGCAAGUUCCAGAUGGAACGCAUAGUUGAAUGUUAACAAUUUCCGUUCGCACAACGAGGAAAUACAGAAUGUGGUCUAUUCCCGACUUAC
rnacentral:RNase_P_RNA from 1 species